rnacentral:rRNA from 1 species
GAUGAACGCUGGCGGCGUGCUUAACACAUGCAAGUCGAACGAAGCACUUUAUUUGAUUUCCUUCGGGACUGAUUAUUUUGUGACUGAGUGGCGGACGGGUGAGUAACGCGUGGGUAACCUGCCUUGUACAGGGGGAUAACAGUUGGAAACGGCUGCUAAUACCGCAUAAGCGCACGGCAUCGCAUGAUGCAGUGUGAAAAACUCCGGUGGUAUAAGAUGGACCCGCGUUGGAUUAGCUAGUUGGUGAGGUAACGGCCCACCAAGGCGACGAUCCAUAGCCGACCUGAAAGGGUGACCGGCCACAUUGGGACUGAGACACGGCCCAAACUCCUACGGGAGGCAGCAGUGGGGAAUAUUGCACAAUGGGCGAAAGCCUGAUGCAGCGACGCCGCGUGAGCGAAGAAGUAUUUCGGUAUGUAAAGCUCUAUCAGCAGGGAAGAUAAUGACGGUACCUGACGAAGAAGCACCGGCUAAAUACGUG